UACGAAGGGUGCAAGCGUUACUCGGAAUUACUGGGCGUAAAGCGUGCGUAGGCGGCCUGUUAAGUCGAACGUGAAAUCCCCGGGCUCAACCCGGGAACUGCGUCCGAUACUGGCAGGCUUGAAUCCGGGAGAGGGAUGCGGAAUUCCAGGUGUAGCGGUGAAAUGCGUAGAUAUCUGGAGGAACACCGGUGGCGAAGGCGGCAUCCUGGACCGGUAUUGACGCUGAGGCGCGAAAGCCAGGGGAGCAAACGGG
rnacentral:rRNA from 1 species